GGUGUUGUUAAACAUGGCUAUCUACAUUCCAGUGUCAUUUUACCUGUGCUCUUUCAAUUAAUAGCCAAGGCAAAGUGAUAUAAACCAAGGGAGCAACCAGAGAACUGUAACACAAACUUACAAUGGAUGGGGAUGGGGAAAAAUAAUCAUGGAGGCACAAACGACACCAGACUGGAGUAAAAUAUUUCCACUAAACCGGGUUCCUGGAGGAACUGAGCACAGCAGCAGCAGCAGAGCCGCCCCGCUGGACGAAGGACGAGCACUCUGUAGAGGAGAGGCACAGAGAGGGCAUCACAAGGGAUUUCACUUUCAACUUCCUUGCAAGACUUACUGUCCUAAGGCCCUUGGAAAAAUGUACCACACCUCGUAGAAGCUCAAAGGCCAAUGCAGCUCCCUGAGGGUCCUUAACCAAGAUCAUCAGCUUGGGGUCAACUGGAUUGAAACCACAGUCACAGGACUUACCCUGCACUCCAGCAACUGUGCUGUUACUGGGUGAGUAACAGGAUUCAAACCACAGACACAUGACUUACCCUGCACCCCAGCGACUGUGCUGUUACUGGGUGAGUAACAGGAUUAACAGUAUUCAUUGGCAUUUACAAUAGGGCCCCUUAUUGUUGGCUGAAAUGGGUUUGUAAAAAAAUUAAGAAAUAAUUGCAAGCUAAACUGGGGUAGGUCUAUAAGGAUUGCAUCAAAUGAUUUUUUCCAAGUUUCACAAGCAUAUGGACAGGAUUAUGAAAUCAACUGUUCAAAGUAAAUAAAAUUGACCAAGUUCUAAAAGAAACCCCCACCCCUCUCCAAAAACUUAAAGCAUCCCAGCUGCUGCGUUAAA